AUUGAACGCUGGCGGCAGGCUUAACACAUGCAAGUCGAGCGGGGUGAUGGUGCUUGCACUAUCACUUAGCGGCGGACGGGUGAGUAAUGCUUAGGAAUCUGCCUAUUAGUGGGGGGCAACAUCUCGAAAGGGAUGCUAAUACCGCAUACGUCCUACGGGAGAAAGCAGGGGAUCACUUGUGACCUUGCGCUAAUAGAUGAGCCUAAGUCGGAUUAGCUAGUUGGUGGGGUAAAGGCCUACCAAGGCGACGAUCUGUAGCGGGUCUGAGAGGAUGAUCCGCCACACUGGGACUGAGACACGGCCCAGACUCCUACGGGAGGCAGCAGUGGGGAAUAUUGGACAAUGGGGGGAACCCUGAUCCAGCUAUGCCGCGUGUGUGAAGAAGGCCUUAUGGUUGUAAAGCACUUUAAGCGAGGAGGAGGCUCUUUUGGUUAAUACCCAAGAUGAGUGGACGUUACUCGCAGAAUAAGCACCGGCUAACUCUGUGCCAGCCGCCGCAGUAA
rnacentral:rRNA from 1 species